CUGGCACCUUCGGUGUCCGAGUUGUAAUCUCUAGAAAUGUUUUCCGCGUUGGACCGCACACAAGUCUGUUGGAAUACAGCGGCAUAGUGGUGAGACCCCCGUAUAUGGUGCGGACGCCCAGCGCUUUGUGAUACAUUUUCGAAGAGUCGAGUUGUUUGGGAAUGCAGCUCAAAUUGGGUGGUAAAUUCCAUCUAAAGCUAAAUAUUGGCGAGAGACCGAUAGCGAACAAGUACCGUGAGGGAAAGAUGAAAAGCACUUUGGAAAGAGAGUUAACAGUACGUGAAAUUGUUGGAAGGGAAACGCUUGAAGUCAGACUUGCUUGCCGAGCAAUCGGUUUGCAGGCCAGCAUCAGUUUUCCGGGAUGGAUAAUGGUAGAGAGAAGGUAGCAGUUUCGGCUGUGUUAUAGCUCUCUGCUGGAUACAUCUUGGGGGACUGAGGAACGCA
rnacentral:rRNA from 1 species